GAUGAAGAACGCAGUGAAAUGCGAUAAGUAAUGCGAAUUGCAGAAUUCAGUGAAUCAUCGAAUCUUUGAACGCACAUUGCGCCCGCCAGUAUUCUGGCGGGCAUGCCUGUCUGAGCGUCGUUUCGACCCUCGCGCCCGGCUUCUGUCGGGGGCGGUGUUGGGGAUCGGCCACACCCUUCAGUGGGAGGCCGGCCCCUAAAUUCAGUGGCGACCACGCUGUAGCCUCCCCUGCGUAGUACUAAAACCACCUCGCAGGCGGAGAGCGGUGCGGCCCGCCGUAAAACCCUCCAACUUUUACAAGGUCGACCUCAGAUCAGGUAGGAAUACCCGCUGAACUUAAGCAUAUCAAUAAGCGGAGGA
rnacentral:misc_RNA from 1 species